GGCUGGUCCUUUGGGGUCAAAAGAACAUCUUUUAUAAAAACUGAGCUCAUAACCUAUACUACAAUUUCAACCACACCUCACAGCAAGGUGUGGUUGUCCAGUGAAGAAGAGACAAUGCGGGACCAUUAACGUUAAUGGAAAGACAUUGAGACAUCCCCACUCUUCAAUCAAGAAGGAUUUCCACACUAAAUAAACAUAAAAUCCCUUUUCUAAUAAGGGCUGGCUCUAUUAUUUUUGCACCAAACAAGAAAAAAGAAAAAGCCGCUUGGACUGCUGCCCGAAC